GUUUGUAAUCCAAGUGAGAAUAUAUACAUUUUAAGACCUAACCAGGAACGACUGCAAAAAAUGCAGCACAAGGUCCUCUGGUAGGAAUCGAACCUACGGCCCUGCGAUUCCGAAGCAGUGCUCUAACCAACUGAGCUACAGAGGCCAACUGUUGAGCUGCAACCGUAAAUUCAUGUAUAUAUAGGUAAUCGGGUGUGCGGGUUGUGAUAAGGUGGACUUGAAUAACUUAGUACUUGCACUUAACUUGGUGGAAUAAAUAUUAGGAUGUUAGGGUUUGUAAUCCAAGUGAGAAUAUAUAC